rnacentral:tRNA from 1 species
GUCUGGGUGGUGUAGUUGGUGAUCACAUUAGUCUCACACACUAAAGGUCUCCAGUUCGAACCUGGACUCAGAAA